ACGGAAGGCAGCAGUGAGGAAUAUUGGUCAAUGGGCGUAAGCCUGAACCAGCCAAGUAGCGUGAGGGAUGACUGCCCUACGGGUUGUAAACCUCUUUUGUUUGGGAAUAAAGGAGCCUACGUGUAGGCUUUUGCAUGUACCUUUCGAAUAAGCAUCGGCUAAUUCCGUGCCAGCAGCCGCGGUAAUACGGAAGAUGCGAGCGUUAUCCGGAUUUAUUGGGUUUAAAGGGUGCGCAGGCGGCACGUUAAGUCAGCGGUGAAAUGUCGGGGCUCAACCCGGGCACUGCCGUUGAAACUGGCGAGCUUGAGUACGGAUGAAGUCGGCGGAAUGUGAUGUGUAGCGGUGAAAUGCUUAGAUAUGUCACAGAACACCGAUUGCGAAGGCAGCUGACUAAUCCGCAACUGACGCUCAGGCACGAAAGCGUGGGGAUCGAACAGGAUUAGAUACCCUGGUA
rnacentral:rRNA from 1 species